UCGGAGUACCAACCAAACUAGAAAGAGAAAAUAGAAAAAAACAAAGAAUGUUGUUUAUCAUAAAGAAUUACAAUAAUAAACACUUUCUUUCUGAAAUAUUGUUUAGUUAAUUAUACCAAUUCGAAAUCAAUAUUUAUAGUUAAGACAGCACAACGUCUUUCGGGUCCGUUAGAAUUGAUUUUCAUGUGGACCAAACGGAUAAAAAGACGCAGCUGAAAAUUUAGUUUACUGUCGGAAAAUCGACAGAUGGUUCGAGACGAAGGAUGUCGAUAGCUUGAAUUCCAUUAUUCAAGAUCAAAUCGCUGGAGAGCUGCAUUCAUACAAUAAAUCGAAAACCAAUCUUUGAUAGUCUGUUGGAUUAAUCAAUGUGGAGUUUAUCUGAAGGCGUUAAAAUGGGCCGAUAUAACGUUCGCCGGUUCCGCUAGUCAUAUAUACAUAUAUAUAUCAACAUUUGACCACAAUAUACACAGGUGGUGGUCCCGCACAAAUUAUACCUUUUGCACUUAUACCUAUUCAUAGAAAAGGAUAUAUAACUCUGUACCUAUAGUAUCACUGCCUCAGUGUAAUUUUGAUUUCCAUCAGAAUACGAUCGUGUGUGUUCAAAAAAUAAUACUUGUUUCUAAUUGAAAACAAUUGAAAUGGAUAAAUCAAUCAAUUCAUUUUCAUGUGUUUACAAAGCAUACUAAUUUUGCUACAUAUGUGGAAACUAUAUGACCAGCAAGGAAGAAAAAUUCGGUUUUACCGAAAAGUUGCAAGAACAUUUGAAGAAGACUUGAAAUUGCAAAUAGUGUAAAUUGAAUUUAACAGCAUUUAAAAAAGACGAAAAAAAAUAAUUUCAAUUUGGAUCUGCAAUGUUGUGGAGAAAACCAGAGAUUCACGGCUCGGAAUGUUUCGUUUGUUCAUUCAAAAUAACUAGAAUCGGGAGAUCCAAGAAACGGGGUUACCCAAACAAUCUGGUCAGGGCUUUACGCUUCCUGCUCCUCCUUUAGAGGAAAUACCGCCACUAAAACGCAAAAAAGAGGAGAUGUCGCCUUCGUCGCAUGGAACAUUCAACCAGGAUAAAUAUUGCAAGUCUAUUUCACAGGAACGAUUGAACGAUUUGGUGAGGAUCCUGGAUAUUCCUAAAAGUAAAGCCGAGCUUCUUGGAUAUUUUUUAAAGGAUUCCCUUUUAUUGAAAGAAAAUGUCAAAAUAACUCAUUUCCGGACGCGUCAUUUGGUUCACGCACAAUUAUAUGACGAAGGGUGACAUGUGCGUUUGCCAUGACAUUUUCGGACUCUUCAAGCAACUGCAAGCAUUAAACAAGUUUAAAGGCUUUUUUGUUACACAAUGGGAACUAACAGCCGUCUGUUCCCAUCGCCCAUGCUGUUAAUAUGAAGGAAACAUCAAACAAUGGCUAAAUUGUGACUUAAAAGUCGUAGCCAUG